rnacentral:rRNA from 1 species
UACGUAGGGGCCAAGCGUUGUCCGGAUUUAUUGGGCGUAAAGAGCUCGUAGGCGGUUCGGCAAGUCAGCUGUGAAAUCUCCACGCUCAACGUGGAGGGGUCAGCUGAUACUGCUGUGACUUGAGUCCGGUAGGGGAGUGUGGAAUUCCCGGUGUAGCGGUGAAAUGCGCAGAUAUCAGGAGGAACACCGGUGGCGAAGGCGGGUCUCUGGGCCGAUACUGACGCUGAGGAGCGAAAGCGUGGGGAGCGAACAGG